UACGUAGGGGGCAAGCGUUGUCCGGAAUUAUUGGGCGUAAAGAGCUCGUAGGUGGCUUGUCGCGUCUGCCGUGAAAGCCCGUGGCUUAACUACGGGUCUGCGGUGGAUACGGGCAGGCUAGAGGCUGGUAGGGGCAAGCGGAAUUCCUGGUGUAGCGGUGAAAUGCGCAGAUAUCAGGAGGAACACCGGUGGCGAAGGCGGCUUGCUGGGCCAGUUCUGACGCUGAGGAGCGAAAGCGUGGGGAGCGAACAGG
rnacentral:rRNA from 1 species